CUGAGGUUGGAUGUUGUAAUCCUGGUGCACAAACUUUUGGCUUCAGUCCCUCCUGUUGCUGUGGUAUUUCUCUGUCCCUUCACUUCCCAAUACACUGGUGUGCGUGAGCGCGCGCACACACACACACACACACACACACAGAGCUGCUUUCUGUCUGGGAGUCCUGGGACAACAACUCGGAUGGGAUUCUGAGCUGGGAGGAACAGGAGAAGGAGCAAAGGUGGAGGCUGGUUCCCCUCUCAGGUCCCGGCUGUGUGGGCUUCCCCGCCACUGUCCCGGGGACCGGAGGCAUGGAGCUGAGCUGACCACGGGAGCCGAGCUCCGGACUGAGGGAGACUUAAAGCCCAGAGAGGACGUGUGAGUUGCCUAAGUUCAUACAGCAAGUUAGAGACUCCGCUCCAUUGCUUAUUGUAUUGGCUCACCAUCCUGCCCUCUCCCAGCUCCGCGGCCUCCCGGUCCAUCACGUCGCCAUGGACAGAAAAGUGGCAGUCCCCGAGGACGGGCCUCCCGUGGUCUCCUGGCUCCCUGAGGAGGGAGAGAAGUUGGAACAGGAAGGCGAGGACCAGGUGAAGGAUCGGGGCCAAUGGACCAACAAGAUGGAGUUUGUGCUGUCAGUGGCCGGGGAGAUCAUUGGGCUGGGGAAUGUCUGGAGGUUUCCCUAUCUCUGCUACAAAAAUGGAGGUGGUGAGUUCAUUUUGAGGUAGGCGUGGUGGGGAGAGCUGUGCCUUGACCGCAGGCAGGGCCUACCUGGGCGCCUCCUGCCUGGCGAUGUGGUAAAAUGGAAGGAGGCUGGCAUGGAGCUGGAGGGCCCGGGGGUUCUCAGGGUCCUCCUCUGUGAAAUAGGGAUGAUGCCUCCCAGGGCCAUGGUGAAGGGUAAUGGAGGCAAUGGGUAGGACCAAGGAAUCUGAGUGUGUAACAAGAUAGGAUAUACUAGUCUUUCAUGAUUCUGUGUAAUGCUGGUUGCUGAUAGGAGUCAUUCAUUCAGCCAGUAUUUUACUGUGGGCCUCUCCUGGGCUAGGCAUUGUUCUAGAUACAGCACAGAACACAUUCUGUGUGUUAUAUGUAUUCUAGCGCAGGGUGGCAGAUUACAGACAAGGAAGUAAGAUGCAUGGGAUGUUGAUGGUGAGGAGUGGAAUGGU